AAAAAGACAAACCCUAGGUUUCCAUGUCCAACGUUUGACUGUCCGUCUUAUAUGAAAUUUUUUUAUAAUUAGUAUUUUCAUUGUUAUUAGAUGAUAAAAUAUGAUUAAUACUUUAUGCGUGACUUGUUUUUUUAAUUUUUUUCAUAAUUUUUUUAAAUAAGAUGGACGGUCAAAUGUUGGACACGGAAAUCAGAGUUUAUC
rnacentral:pre_miRNA from 1 species